rnacentral:rRNA from 1 species
AGCGAACGCUGGCGGUAGGCCUAACACAUGCCAGUCGAACGGCAGCACAGUAAGAGCUUGCUCUUACGGGUGGCGAGUGGCGGACGGGUGAGGAAUACAUCGGAAUCUACUUUUUCGUGGGGGAUAACGUAGGGAAACUUACGCUAAUACCGCAUACGACCUACGGGUGAAAGCAGGGGAUCCUCGACCUUGGGGCAAUGGAUGAGGCGAUGUCGGAUUAGCUAGUUGGCGGGGUAAAGGCCCACCAAGGCGACGAUCCGUAGCUGGUCUGAGAGGAUGAUCAGCCACACUGGAACUGAGACACGGUCCAGACUCCUACGGGAGGCAGCAGUGGGGAAUAUUGGACAAUGGGCGCAAGCCUGAUCCAGCCAUACCGCGUGGGUGAAGAAGGCCUUCGGGUUGUAAAGCCCUUUUGUUGGGAAAGAAAAGCAGCAGGUUAAUACCCCGCUGUUCUGACGGUACCCAAAGAAUAAGCACCGGCUAACUUCGUG